CUUCCACAAACGUAAUAAAAAUUUGCAGCUUUUAAUGUAACAAUCCCACAGAUGUAAUAAGUUUCCCACAAAUGUAACAAAAUUUUGCAUCUUUGAAC